rnacentral:rRNA from 1 species
AUUGAACGCUGGCGGCAGGCCUAACACAUGCAAGUCGAGCGGGGUUUUCGGACCUAGCGGCGGACGGGUGAGUAAUGCGUAGGAAGCUACCCGAUAGAGGGGGAUACCAGUUGGAAACGACUGUUAAUACCGCAUAAUGUCUACGGACCAAAGUGUGGGACCUUCGGGCCACAUGCUAUCGGAUGCGCCUACGUGGGAUUAGCUAGCUGGUGAGGUAAUGGCUCACCAAGGCGACGAUCCCUAGCUGGUUUGAGAGGAUGAUCAGCCACACUGGAACUGAGACACGGUACAGGCUCCUACGGGAGGCAGCAGUGGGGAAUAUUGGACAAUGGGCGCAAGCCUGAUCCAGCCAUGCCGCGUGUGUGAAGAAGGCCUUCGGGUUGUAAAGCACUUUCAGUAGGGAGGAAGCGUUGUGUGUUAAUAGUACACAGCGUUGACGUUACCUACAGAAGAAGCACCGGCUAACUCUGUGCCAGCCGCCGCCGUAAUAC